GAUGAAGAACGUAGCGAAAUGCGAUAAGUAAUGUGAAUUGCAGAAUUCAGUGAAUCAUCGAAUCUUUGAACGCACAUUGCGCCCCCUGGUAUUCCGGGGGGCAUGCCUGUCCGAGCGUCAUUGCUGCCCUCAAGCACGGCUUGUGUGUUGGGCCCCGUCCUCCGAUCCCGGGGGACGGGCCCGAAAGGCAGCGGCGGCACCGCGUCCGGUCCUCGAGCGUAUGGGGCUUUGUCACCCGCUCUGUAGGCCCGGCCGGCGCUUGCCGAUCAACCCAAAUUUUUAUCCAGGUUGACCUCGGAUCAGGUAGGGAUACCCGCUGAACUUAAGCAUAUCAAUAGCGGAGGA
rnacentral:misc_RNA from 1 species